rfam:Aspergillus niger DNA, contig: scaffold669_006, strain: An76, whole genome shotgun sequence.
GCCCUUGUGGCGCAAUCGGUAGCGCGUAAGACUUCUAAUCUUAAGGCUGUGGGUGACCCCCACCAGGGGCU